CUAUAACUCUAUACUUUAUUUUUAGUAAGCUCAAUGUUUGGGGAUUUACGCAGUAUUAAAGUCGGUGUGAUAUCAUUUUAAAAUAUUUUGAUAACUUUUAAUCAAUUUCUUAAACUACAAACGGAUAGGCGCUUUUCCAGUAGCGACGUUUAAAAAUCGAUUAAAAUGGAGGUUCUUAUGAAAGGUAUAGUUAUUGGAGCGGCUGCGCUAGUGGCAGCCCUGACUGUUGCCGUGCAGUGGUGGCAGUACCGACAAGUACCAGAGCCAUAUGCUGCCCAGGGUCGGAGAAGACCAAGGAAUGAUUAAUCUAAGCUGCAUAAUAGAAAUAGAACUCGGCACCUCAUUACAAUAGUAUUAAAUAAUGUAUUAUUAAUAAUAAUAAGUUAAAAUUACACUUAGACAAAAACUUAGGUGGACUUAAAAAAAGAAGAAUAGAAAAAAGCUUUAAAAAAUAAAGGCACAGCAAUAAGUA